UAAAGCGCGCGUAGGUGGCUAAUUAAGUCAAAUGUGAAAUCCCCGAGCUUAACUUGGGAAUUGCAUUCGAUACUGGUUAGCUAGAGUAUGGGAGAGGAUGGUAGAAUUCCAGGUGUAGCGGUGAAAUGCGUAGAGAUCUGGAGGAAUACCGAUGGCGAAGGCAGCCAUCUGGCCUAAUACUGACACUGAGGUGCGAAAGCAUGGGGAGCAAACAGGAUUAGAUACCCUGGCAGUCCAUGCCGUAAACGAUGUCUACUAGCCGUUGGGGCCUUUGAGGCUUUAGUGGCGCAGCUAACGCGAUAAGUAGACCGCCUGGGGAGUACGGUCGCAAGACUAAAACUCAAAUGAAUUGACGGGGGCCCGCACAAGCGGUGGAGCAUGUGGUUUAAUUCGAUGCAACGCGAAGAACCUUACCUGGCCUUGACAUACAGAGAACUUUCCAGAGAUGGAUUGGUGCCUUCGGGAACUCUGAUACAGGUGCUGCAUGGCUGUCGUCAGCUCGUGUCGUGAGAUGUUGGGUUAAGUCCCGCAACGAGCGCAACCCUUUUCCUUACUUGCCAGCAUUUCGGAUGGGAACUUUAAGGAUACUGCCAGUGACAAACUGGAGGAAGGCGGGGACGACGUCAAGUCAUCAUGGCCCUUACGGCCAGGGCUACACACGUGCUACAAUGGUCGGUACAAAGGGUUGCUACACAGCGAUGUGAUGCUAAUCUCAAAAAGCCGAUCGUAGUCCGGAUUGGAGUCUGCAACUCGACUCCAUGAAGUCGGAAUCGCUAGU
rnacentral:rRNA from 1 species